UCAAGACCUGAGAGCUGAGAUCAAGCUGAGCUCAGUCCCUGACUGAGCCACCCAGACACCCCAAAUACGUUUAUUUUUCAAUAAAACUUCGCAACACUACAGUAAAUGGAAAAUUAGUAUCACCCAUCAUACAUAGUAAUUAUAUAGAGAUAGACAUUAUCGACCAUGAUAAAUAAUGUUGUUAUUAUUAACGUUUUUGAGCCUUUGCUCUGUGCCAGGAGCUGUUCUAGACUCUAUGAUAUUAACUCACUCAGUGACUUGCUGCGGUCCCCCAAGGGAGGCACCGUGUUGUCCCCUCCCUCUGUCAUGAGUUAAGAGGCUCAGAGCGACGGCCCUGAAAAUGGACACAUCACCCUGGAAACCAAAGGCGAGGCCACCUCAGUCACCCUGGCGCCCAUGGGCGGGGCACCUCAGCUAUGCCGGACUUUGAAUCUGAUUUGCUUCUUGCCUAAUUCACCCAUCUACUCAACAAGUGUUCGCUGAGCACCUGCUGUGUGACCUUGCUGGGGAAAGAGAAGAUUAGGACUCUGUCCCUGCCCUGGAAGAGCCUGCCUGCUCGUCGGGAAGGUUCGUUUAUUUUAACGCGGGGGUUGGAGAGAGAAUCCCGAGCCGACUCCACGCUGUCAGUGCAGAGCCCGACUUGGGGCUUGAACACACAAACCGCGAGAUGGUGACCUGAGCCCACCCCCCCCCCCCGCCUGAACCCCAAGAGCGCCUGGGGGAGGGGUGCGGCCGCAGGGAAGUCAGGCUGCCGGGGGUUCGUGUGGUGAUGAGGUGUGAUUUCAGCAAGGAAAUUGGCCAAGUCAGUGCAGGAUGUCAGAGAAGGUUCCUCAAACUGAGGCGGCAAGGGAGGUAGAGAGGAGGGUCUGACUCACCUCCCAGCGCUUUGGGUCGAUACGGAUCUACCAACAUCUCCACGCAGCGUUGCCGAUUUUUCCAGAAUCGCUUCAAAGUAAGAAACCGUGCCAGGCGGAGAUCAUGCUACCCCGGGAGGAUGGGACAAGACCACGUGACCUCUACGGUCUUCUUGGAACACCCAGAGCCCCGGCCCAACCACGAGAAGAACGGCAGGCCGGCCCCGCCUGGAGGACAUCUCACAAAACCUCUGAGCCGAGCUCCCCAAAAUGGCCAGAUCAGCAAAUCCAAGGAAUGAUGGAAAAAGCGUCACGACCCCGAGGAGUGAGGAAGCACGGCACGUGUCCCGGACAGGACCCUGGAGCAGGAAAGGGACGGAAAACCUGGCGAAGUCCACAUAAAGUCUAGAAUUUAGUGAAUAAUAAUGUGCCGAUGUCAGGUUCUUAGUUUGGACAAAUGUAACCCGGUCGUGGAGAAGGGUAACGUUCCGGGAAAUUCAGGAAAUUCAAACUGAGGGAGGGGUAAUCCGGGAACUCUCUGUACAGCCCUUGCAACUUUUCUUCAGAGUUCAAGGGCACCUUUGAAGUGCACAGGGAGCCCAGGGAGCUUGUAUGCACAGAAAUGUGCAAAGCAAAAAAUUCAAACCUGC